UACAGAGGUCUCAAGCGUUGUUCGGAUUCAUUGGGCGUAAAGCGCACGUAGGUGGUCAGGCAAGUCGGGUGUGAAAGCCCUGGGCUCAACCUGGGAAUUGCAUUCGAAACUAUCUGACUCGAGUAUGGGAGAGGGAAGCGGAAUUUCCGGUGUAGCGGUGAAAUGCGUAGAUAUCGGAAGGAACACCAGUGGCGAAGGCGGCUUCCUGGACUAAUACUGACACUGAGGUGCGAAAGCGUGGGGAGCAAACAGG
rnacentral:rRNA from 1 species